UAGCAUAAUCAUUUGUCUUUUAAUUGAAGACUAGAACAAAAGAUUGAACAAUUUAAUUAAUAUAUAAAAUUAACUAUUUUAAUUUUUUUUACAAGUAAAAAAACUUAUAUAUUAAAGGAAGACGACAAGACCCUAUUAAACUUAACUUCAGUUAAACUGGGGCAGUUAGUAAAUUAUCACUUUUAUAUAAUCAAAAAACCAAAUGAUCCAGCAAAACUGAUUAAAUGAUCAAGUUACUAUAGGGAUAACAGCGUAAUAUUUAUUUAAAGCUCUCAUUUAAAUAAAAGUUUGCGACCUCGAUGUUGAAUUAAUAACCUAAAUUGUUGCAAUAAACAAAUAAAGGAAG
rnacentral:rRNA from 1 species